UACGUAGGGGGCAAGCGUUGUCCGGAUUUAUUGGGCGUAAAGAGCGUGUAGGCGGCCAAGCAGGUCCGCUGUGAAAACUCGAGGCUCAACCUCGAGACGUCGGUGGAAACCGUUUGGCUAGAGUCCGGAAGAGGAGAGUGGAAUUCCCGGUGUAGCGGUGAAAUGCGCAGAUAUCGGGAAGAACACCAACGGCGAAGGCAGCUCGCUGGGACGGUACUGACGCUGAGACGCGAAAGCGUGGGGAGCCGAACAGGA
rnacentral:rRNA from 1 species